UUGCACGCUGGCGGCAGGCCUAACACAUGCAAGUCGAGCGGAUGAGGGGAGCUUGCUCCUGGAUUCAGCGGCGGACGGGUGAGUAAUGCCUAGGAAUCUGCCUGGUAGUGGGGGAUAACGUCCGGAAACGGGCGCUAAUACCGCAUACGUCCUGAGGGAGAAAGUGGGGGAUCUUCGGACCUCACGCUAUCAGAUGAGCCUAGGUCGGAUUAGCUAGUUGGUGGGGUAAAGGCCUACCAAGGCGACGAUCCGUAACUGGUCUGAGAGGAUGAUCAGUCACACUGGAACUGAGACACGGUCCAGACUCCUACGGGAGGCAGCAGUGGGGAAUAUUGGACAAUGGGCGAAAGCCUGAUCCAGCCAUGCCGCGUGUGUGAAGAAGGUCUUCGGAUUGUAAAGCACUUUAAGUUGGGAGGAAGGGCAGUAAGUUAAUACCUUGCUGUUUUGACGUUACCAACAGAAUAAGCACCGGCUAACUUCGUG
rnacentral:rRNA from 1 species